UUGUGGAACGCGUUAGGCGCGUUACUAUAUAUGGUUGGUCAUUAUUUCAUUUGAACUAUCAGAUCAGUUUAAUUUCUAACGUUGUUAUACUAUCGUUAUUUAAAUGAAAGAACCGAAUACAAGAAAAGAAAAGCUUCUGUAUCGUCUUGCUACUCUUGGGAGGUCGGCGACCCAACUUGUUAGUAGUUCGUUCGUAAUCCUUUGCUUUUUGGACUCUUCCACUUAUGGGUCGGCCA